UACGUAGGGUGCAAGCGUUAAUCGGAAUUACUGGGCGUAAGGCGUGCGCAGGCGGUUUUGUAAGACAGUGGUGAAAUCCCCGGGCUCAACCUGGGAACUGCCAUUGUGACUGCAAGGCUAGAGUGCGGCAGAGGGGGAUGGAAUUCCGCGUGUAGCAGUGAAAUGCGUAGAUAUGCGGAGGAACACCGAUGGCGAAGGCAAUCCCCUGGGCCUGCACUGACGCUCAUGCACGAAAGCGUGGGGAGCAAACAGG
rnacentral:rRNA from 1 species